rnacentral:rRNA from 1 species
CACGGGGUUGCGAGCGUUGUCCGGAAUUACUAGGCGUAAAGGGCAGGCAGGCGGAUCCAUAAGUUUAUCGUUUAAGGCGUCGGCUUAACCGGAGUAGGGCGGUAGAUACUGUGGAUCUGGAAUGCGGUUGGGGAAGACAGAAUUCCUGGUGUAGCGGUGGAAUGCGCAGAGAUCAGGAGGAAUACCGAAGGCGAAGGCAGUCUUCCAAGCCGUUAUUGACGCUCAACUGCGAAGGUGUGGGUAUCAAACAGGAUUAGAUACCCGGGUAGUCCCUGAG